rnacentral:rRNA from 1 species
CGGAGGGUGCAAGCGUUAUCCGGAUUCACUGGGUUUAAAGGGUGUGUAGGCGGGCAGUUAAGUCAGUGGUGAAAUCUCCGGGCUCAACCCGGAAACUGCCAUUGAUACUAAUUGUCUUGAAUAUCGUUGAGGCAGGCGGAAUAUGUCAUGUAGCGGUGAAAUGCAUAGAUAUGACAUAGAACACCAAUUGCGAAGGCAGCUUGCUAAACGAUCAUUGACGCUGAGGCACGAAAGCGUGGGGAUCAAACAGGAUUAGAUACCCUGGUAGUCCACGCCCUAAACGAUGAUUACUCGACAUACGCGAUACACAGUGUGUGUCUGAGCGAAAGCAUUAAGUAAUCCACCUGGGAAGUACGUCCGCAAGGAUG